UGCCCCAGUAACGGCGAGUGAAGCGGCAACAGCUCAAAUUUGAAAUCUGGCCCCAGGCCCGAGUUGUAAUUUGCAGAGGAUGCUUCCGGCGAGGCACCUACCGAGUCCCCUGGAAUGGGGCGCCACAGAGGGUGAGAGCCCCGUAUGGUAGGACGCCGAGCCGAUGUGAAGCUCCUUCGACGAGUCGAGUAGUUUGGGAAUGCUGCUCUAAAUGGGAGGUAAAUUUCUUCUAAAGCUAAAUACCGGCCAGAGACCGAUAGCGCACAAGUAGAGUGAUCGAAAGAUGAAAAGCACUUUGAAAAGAGGGUUAAAAAGUACGUGAAAUUGUUGAAAGGGAAGCGCUUGUGACCAGACUCGCGCCGGUCGGAUCAUCCAGGGCUCGCCCUGGUGCACUCCGGCCGGAUCGGGCCAGCAUCGGUUUCCGCCGGGGGACAAAGGCUUCGGGAACGUGGCUCGCUUCGGCGAGUGUUAUAGCCCGCUGCGUAAUACCCCGGGGGGGACCGACGACCGCGCUUCGGCAAGGAUGCUGGCGUAAUGGUCAUCAGCGACCCGUCUUGAAACACGGACCGAGGAGUCAAGCAUUAGUGCGAGUGUUUGGGUGUAAAACCCGCACGCGUAAUGAAAGUGAACGUAGGUGAGAGCUUCGGCGCAUCAUCGACCGAUCCUGAAGUCUUCUGAUGGAUUUGAGUAGGAGCAUUAACGCUUGGACCCGAAAGAUGGUGAACUAUACUUGAAUAGGGUGAAGCCA
rnacentral:rRNA from 1 species